rnacentral:rRNA from 1 species
AGGACAAACGCUGGCGGCGUGCCUAAGACAUGCAAGUCGAACGGAAGGCUUCGGCCUUGAGUGGCGGACGGGUGAGGAGCGCGUGGAGAACCUGCCCCGGGGUGGGGGAUAACAGUCGGAAACGAUUGCUAAGACCGCAUACGACCAUUCGUUGCAGGAUGAAUGGGGAAAGCAGCGAUGUGCCCUGGGAGGGCUCCGCGUCGGAUUAGCUAGUUGGUGGGGUAACGGCCUACCAAGGCUGCGAUCCGUAGCUGGUCUGAGAGGACGGCCAGCCACACUGGGACUGAGACACGGCCCAGACUCCUACGGGAGGCAGCAGUUAGGGAAUUUUGUCAAUGGGCGAAAGCCUGAACGAGUGACGCCGCGUGCGGGAUGACGCCUUUCGGGUGUAAACCGCUUUUCCCGAAGGACGAGGAUGGACGGUACUUGGGGAAUAAGUCUCGGCUAACUACGUGCCAGCAGCCGC